CGAUAUUUGCUUCUUUCUUCCCUGUUAUUGCUCAGUUGCUCUCUCCGAUUAUCAUCAUUGUUCUUCAUCACAAUUUCUAGGACUGUAUUGGUGUCAUUGACAAUACACAUAUCCAAGUUGUUGUUGGAGAGAACAAGAGAGGGUGUGCCAUCUUUUAAUGUGAUGGUGGCAAGCAAUUUUGAUUUACUUUUCACAUUUGUUACGGCUAGAUGGGAAGGUGUAACACAUGAUACAUGUAUUUUCUUAGAUGCUAUCCAUCGAGAAUCUGUCAACUUUCCAAAACCACCACCAGGAAAAUAUUAUUUAGUUGAUGUUGGAUACCCCUUUAAGGAAAGGAUAUUUGUCACCUUAUAAGGGAUAGAGAUAUCUUCUUUCAGAUUUUCGACGAGUUGGUCAAGCGAAUCACCUAGAAGAGAGGUUUAACUAUGUUCACUCAUCACUUAGAAGUGUGAUUGAGCAAACUUUUGGAGUGUGGAAGAAUAGAUGGAAAAUCUUGAAGCAAAUGCCAUCUUAUGACAUUAAGCACCAAAGAAACAUUAUAGUUGCUACUUGUGUUUUGCAUAAUUUUAUUAGAAAACAUGAUAGGGAGGAUGAGGGAUUUAAUUGGGAUGAGCAUGACUUGGUCGGACCAAGAAGCAAUAGUAGUGGAGAAGGUAGUAGUAGACAGAAAAACAUUGAGAAUAUAUAAGAUGAGGAGAUGAAUUUAUUCGUGACAAGAUA